rnacentral:rRNA from 1 species
UUGGAGGGCAAGUCUGGUGCCAGCAGCCGCGGUAAUUCCAGCUCCAAUAGCGUAUAUUAAAGUUGUUGCAGUUAAAAAGCUCGUAGUUGAAUUUCGGAAUUUUUUUAUCGGUUGAACCAACAGGUUCGUACUGAUUUUAAGAAUUUCUACCUUCUGGAGAACCUUAAUGUCAUUUAUUUGAUGUUUUGGGAAACCAGGACUGUUACCUUGAAAAAAUUAGAGUGUUUAAAGCAGGCUUAUGUCUGAAUAUAUUAGCAUGGAAUAAUGAAAUAGGACGGCAUGGUUCUAUUUUGUUGGUUUCUAGGAUCACCGUAAUGAUUAAUAGGGAUAGUUGGGGGCAUUAGUAUUCAAUUGUCAGAGGUGAAAUUCUUGGAUUUAUUGAAGACUAACUUCUGCGAGAGCAUUUGCCAAGGAUGUUUUCAUUAAUCAAGAACGAAAGUUAGGGGAUCGAAGACGAUCAGAUACCGUCGUAGUCUUAACCAUAAACUAUGCCGACUAGGAAUCGGACGAAGUUAAUUUUUUAAUGACUCGUUCGGCGCCUUACGGAAAAC